UGUCCCUUCCGUCCGGGUCUCAGGCUGGGCAGAAAGAAGGGUCGGGAGAGUGAGUCACAGGUUCCUGUCCGCCGCUAAGGGAUCCGUCGGGGCGGGGCCCGGGAUCCUGGGAGUGGGAGCUGGUUCUGAAAGUAAGGUCAGGAAAAUGUUCCUGUACACGCACCCGGAGGCUUUUGCAGGAGGCGGCUGUUGGAGAACCAGGAAAACAAGCCAAGAAACAAGAGAGAGGAAAAAGACCACGCCUCGCUUGGCAGAUUCCUAAUGGCCCAGGAGACCUGAGGCUUUACAGUGGGAGACAAAAAGAACAUUCCCAGCCCCUGCCAUGAGCCUGGACUUGCUCUGCUGGCAGGCGAAGGAAUGCAGCUCUGGCCGCCACAGCUGCUGGUGGCCAGCUGCGGCCUCAGCUCCUGCUGCUCCCACCCCAGCAGGCACAGGGACAAAGGCCUCUUCUCAGCCUGUCCCCUCCAGCCCCCUGGAUCAGUGGGGGCAGAACAUUGACCAGGAGGCUCUGUCACUGACCAGCUCAAUUGCUGUUCCUCUCUGGGCCUUAGUGCCCUUUCUGGAAAAUGGGGGCAGUCUCUGCCUGACUGACUUCUCAGCACCAUUUUGAGAUUCCAAGGAGUUAAAGUACAGAAAUACAGACCUCUCAGCAUCUCUUCUGCCUGAGGGUUGGCCUACACAGAGACCCUCCUGCCUCCAAUGCCCCUCCCUCCCUCCCACUUCACCUGGCUAGCCCCAGCUCCCUCAGCUCAGCUCAGCUCAGCGGGACCAUCCCUUGCUCUGGGGAGCCCUCCCUCACCUUCAGACCAUGCUGCUCCUUCAACGUAUUUAUCACUGUUGUAAUUAAAUAAUUAAUUGUGUAAUUGGAUCUAUCUCCCCACUCAGAUGUGAACUCUAGAAUAAUAAUAGCUGACACAAAAUGCUGACCCAGUGCCAGAGACUUUCCAGGUAUUAACCCAGUUAGUCCCUGUUGUAGGUACUGUUAGUGUUCCCAUCUUACAGAUGUGGUAGCUGAGACAAUGAGAGAUUCAGUAACUUACCUGAAGUCACAGCAAGUUGGAGGCUGAGCCAGAACUUAGCACAAAGAAGGUGCAGAAUCAGGAUUCAAAUCCAGACCCCAGACUAGAAUCAGUAUGCCACUAAUAAGGCAGGUUCAGCUUGUUCCCUGGCUAUCCCAGCUCCCAGAACAUCUGGCAUACAGUCAGUGCUCCAUUUAUGUUGGGUAAAUGAGGACACAAACAGGUGAUGAAUACACAGGAGUAUUUGGAGAAGACUAAAGUGCCUUCCAGGAGUGAGUUUUGCAGGUGCUAUGUGUGGAGCCAAGCCGUGGUGGGGGGAGGGGGUACCCAAUAUAGUACUAAAGAACAAUUAUUAGGCUUCUUUCUGAAACACAUAGGCCAAAAACUUGGGACGUCAUCUUUGAUUCCUCCUUCCACUUCAUCUGCCAGAGCCAUUCAGUCCCCAGGUUCUGCUUGAUGUCUCUCAGUGCACCCCCUCUUCUCCAUCCCUCAACCCCCAUCUUUUUCUUGGAUUUUUGUAGCAUGUCUUACACGGGUGUCUCUGUCUCUAAUUUCUCCUCCUUCAAAGUGGGCCUCUGAAAACAAAGCUAAUUGUGGGUGCCAUCCCUCUUUACCCCCUCCCUCACUAAUGAACCUUCCAUGGCUCCGCAUUGCUUUCUGGAUAAAGCCCACACUCCUCACCAGGGCUUCUACCACCCAACCCCUGCCUCCACCCCUCCAGUCUCACCUCCUGCCCCACUCCUCCACAUGUCCUUUGCCCAAGCUACUCUAUAUAGUAGAUGUUAAGAGCAUGGAAGCAGACAGACCUGGGUUCAAGCCUGGCUUUUGCCAUUUACUAGCUGUGCGAGUUUGUAAAUAAAUCAGUUUCCUUCUCUAAGCCUCAGUUGCCACAUAUGGGAAAAUGGGCAUAAUUAUGAUAGCUCUUCAUAGAAUUGGUGUAAGGAUUAAAUGAAUACAUAAGGUGCUGAACAUACCCCCUGACACUCCCAAUAGUUCCUAUAAUUCUUAUACUUUUCUCUGCUACAAAGAGCACUUCUUACUGUCAGCCUUACUAUUCUUUAUGACCUAGCUCAAAUGUCACCUCUUGGAGGAAAUUUUUCUUGAUAGUCACACUCUGUUCCCCAAGUGAAAUCAUUCUCACUUUGCAGACUCGCUUGCACUUUGCACCUCUAUAAAGCACAUGUAAUAUGGUUGUUGCACUCUUUCCCACAUGACCCCAAGAGUUCCCAGGGAGCAGGAACAAUACCUUCUUGACUCUAGCACCGUGCCUGGCAUGCAGCAGGUACUCAAAAGGUGUCAGUGGAAUUGAGUGGAGGCACUACUUUCAGUGCCUUUCUUGAGCACCUUGCAGUGAGGAGAGCUGAGUGGUGAGAUGGCUGGACUGGGACCUGGUUGCCUGAGUCCCACUCCAGCUUUGGUGCGGGGUACAUUGGUAUACGUGGGAAUGGGAAUGAGUGGAAGAAACCCCUGACCUCUGGGCUCUUUCUUCCUGGCCGGGACUCUUCAGUCCUUUAAGGGAGGGAGAGAAGGGAGAGGAGGUGAGGAGGUCCAGGUGCUGAGCAGGGGUGAGGUGGGGCUAUAAUAGUUGCUGGGCGUGAGUGGGAGCUGGCAGACUCCAGCUGCUCUCAGACCAGGGCGGGGCCUGGCCAGGACAGGGCCCCACAACCCAAGUCCCCGCCUGCCAGGCCCCGCCUCAUCCUGGCACCUGGAUUAAGUGACUUUUCAGGUUGUAAAACUCCAUCUUGAUCUGCAAGGAAGUAGAGUCCACACCUGGCCUUGUCUGGUUGCUGAGCAGGGAGAAAGGGGAGUGUUUCCUUUUCUUCUUUUUGUGUCGGUAACCCCUUGCAAUCCUGGGCACAUCAAAGAAGGUAAUACUCUUUGCAAACCCAAGUGAAGGUCACAUUAUCCCCAGCUGUUGCUUCACUUGCUGCUUCUGCCACUCCCCCUACUUAAAGCCCUUCUCUCACUGCCCGGUACCCUCAGGAUAAAGUCCCAACUCCUAAUCCAACCCCUAAAGCCCUGGGAGGUCUGGCCCCUGCCUCCUGUUGGACUUUCACUUCCCUCUCCCCCUGCUGCCGCCUCUUCUGGCCUUUUCUCAGUUCUCCCAGCACACCUUGCCCCUUCUUUCCUCUGGGCCUUCACGCAUACUGUUUUCUCUGUCUUGAGUGCUUUUCCCUAUCCCCUGGUGAUUUUGUUUCAUGUUUAGUACUUUCGAUGCCUAAGAAAUCUUUGCCUAUCCCAAGAUCAUGAAGAUUCUCCCAUCUGUAUUCUAUAAGUUUAUAGUGUCAGCUUUCACUUUAGGUCCAUGAUUCAUCUUGGAUUAAUUUCUAUGCAUUGUCAGCUAGGGGUUGAGACUCAUUCCCACUCAUUCUUUACAGUUCAGUUUAUCUCUCACCUCCCUUGAGAAGCCUUCCUUGACUGCUCCCAGACUAGGUCAGUUCCUCCCACUCCACAGCCCAUAGCACCCUCUACUUUCUUGUAGCACUUGCCAUAAUUGUAAUUAAACAAUUAUUUGUGUAA